CAAGCAGCAGAGCAAUGGCAGCAAGCUGAAGAUGAUCUCAUGUGUCCCUCAGAGCUGUGGAUCCUGCAGUUUGCUUUCAUCCUCCUGCUGAAUG
ensembl:miRNA